rnacentral:rRNA from 1 species
GACGAACGCUGGCGGCGUGCCUAAUACAUGCAAGUUGAGCGCUGAAGGUUGGUACUUGUACCAACUGGAUGAGCAGCGAACGGGUGAGUAACGCGUGGGGAAUCUGCCUUUGAGCGGGGGACAACAUUUGGAAACGAAUGCUAAUACCGCAUAAAAACUUUAAACACAAGUUUUAAGUUUGAAAGAUGCAAUUGCAUCACUCAAAGAUGAUCCCGCGUUGUAUUAGCUAGUUGGUGAGGUAAGGGCUCACCAAGGCGAUGAUACAUAGCCGACCUGAGAGGGUGCUCGGCCACAUUGGGACUGCGACACGGCCCAAACUCCUACGGGAGGCAGCAGUAGGGAAUCUUCGGCGAUGGACGAAAGUCUGACCGAGCAACGCCGCGUGAGUGCAGAAGGUUUUCGGAUCGUAAAACUCUGUUGGUAGAGAAGAACGUUGGUGAGAGUGGAAAGCUCAUCAAGUGACGGUAACUACCCAGAAAGGGACGGCUAACUACGUG